rnacentral:rRNA from 1 species
CAACUUUCAACAAUGGAUCUCUUGGCUCUCGCAUCGAUGAAGAACGCAGCGAAACGCGAUAUGUAAUGUGAAUUGCAGAAUUCAGUGAAUCAUCGAAUCUUUGAACGCACCUUGCGCCCUUUGGUAUUCCAAAGGGCAUGCCUGUUUGAGUGUCAUUA